AAACACAUUGUACAGCUGUACAAAAAUAUUUUCUUCUUCCAUAUCCUUAUUCUAUAGCUAUUUUCUAUUUAAAUUUUGUUAUUUUACUUUAAAAAUUUUUUUUUUUUGGUUAAAAACUAAGACAUAAUUCCAGCACUUUGGGAGGCCAAGGUGGCAGGAUAGCUUGAGAUCAGGAGUUCAAGACAAGGUUGGGAAACAUAGCAAACCCUGUCUCUACAAAAAAAAUGAAAAAAUUAGCUGGGAGCAAUGAUGCACUCCUGUAGUCCUAGCUUCUUGGGAGGCUGAGGCAGGAGGGUCCCCUGAGCCCAGGAGUUCCAGGUUACAGUGAGCCACUGCACUCCAGCCUGGAUGACAGAAUAAGACCCUGUCUCUCAAAAUGAAUCAAUCACACAAAGAAGCCAAAAACUAAGACACACACACACACGUGUUAGCUUAGGCUUACAUGGGGUCAGGAUCAUCACUGUCUUUCACCUCCAUAUUGUGUCUUACUAGGUCUUCAGGGGCAAUAACGUGCAUGGAGCUAUCAUCUAUGGCAAUAAUGCUUUCUUCUGGAAGAUCUGCUGAAGAGACCUGCCUGGGGCUAUUUUACAGUUAACCUUUUUUUAUUUUUGAAACAGUGUCUUGCUGUCUCGCCCAGGCUGGAGUGCAAUGGCACGAUUUUGGCUCACCGCAGCCUUGAACUCCUCAGGCUCAGGCGAUCCUCUCAUCUCAGCCUCCUAAGUAGCUGGACUACAGGUGCAUGCCACCAUGCCAGGCUAAGUUUUGUAUUUUUUUUGGAGAGACGGGGUCUCACCAUGUUGCCCAGGCUCAGGCUGGUCUUGAACUCCUGGGCUCAAGCAAUCCUCCUGCCUUGGCCUCCCAAAAUGCUGGCAUUUCAAGCGUGAGCCACCCUGCCUGGCAUAGUUAACUUUUUUUAAUAAGUAGGAGGAAUAUACUCAAAAUAAUAAAAUAUAGUAAAUACAUAAACCAAUAACAUAAUCAUUCAUUAUUAUCAAGUAUUAUGUACUGUACAUAAUUGUAUGUGCUAUACUUUUAUAUGGCUGACAGUGCCGUAGGUUUGUUUACACCAGUAUCACCACAAAUACAUGAGUAAUGCAUUGUGUUAUGAUACUACAACCGUUAUGAUGCCACUAGUGAUGGGAAACUACUUCAUACAGAUGCUAGGGCCUAAGGCUAUUCCUGUCUUUGAGGAGCUCUGAUCCCAGGGAUGAAGGCAGUAAAUUCAUUAAUGAGGUAAGCAUUACUAUAAUGAUUUCUUUUUAACAUUUAGAAGAUGGUUGACUUCUGCCAGGAAGGAGGGCAAGGCUUCACUGAGGUGACAUUUUGGUUCGUUUGAAAGGAUAAUUAGGAUUCCAUCAGUUGGAGAAGGUGUGAAGUCAUUCAAGUCAGAUAGAAUAAUGUGCAAAAGUACAGAGGUAUAAAAAGAAUGCUGUUCAUUAGGUGUCCACAUAGGCAAGAGGAAGUUUCUCUUUAUAGAAACAUUUCAUCUCAUAAUUGAAGGUGUGAUUGAAAUAUAAUAUUAUCAUUUUGCAAUCCCUAAUAAAGGGAUCUUAGGCAUUGAGCAUCAACAGCUGCUAACAUCACAAAAAGAGAUCUGUAUCACCUAUGAAGUAGUUUAAAAAAAUAUCAAGCCUGAGUCUGAUCAAACUUGUAGAUCCAAAUACUAUUUUAUAGGAAACACAGAAGAUGGGGGCAAUGUUUAACUAUACCAUAAGGAUGUAACUAGCAACAUGGGAGGAAUUACAAAUGACCCAAUUUCUUUAAUAAAUUAAUUGCAAGAAGAAAAAAAGUGGAGACAGACCUAUAGAUUAAAAAAUAUCAGUCUCAAUGCAUGCGUCUUAUUUGGAUUCUAACAUAAAGAGGACAUUUUAUGAGACAAUUGGAAAUUCGAAUACUGGAUAUUUGAUGUUACUCAGGGAUUAUUAUUUUUAGAUAUGACAGUGGUAUCAUGGGUUAUGAUUAAUUCAUUGUAAAUUCGAGCAAUGUACUGAAAUUUUAAUGGAUAAAAUGUUAUGAUGAGGAAAUUUGCUUCUAAGUAGUAUGGGAGAAGAGUAGAUGAGGCUAUAAGUGACACAAUUGGCUAUGGGUAAUUCAAGCUGGGGUAUGGGUACACCAAGUUUCAUUAUAGUAUUUUGUUUGAUUUUUCUGUAUAUUAUUUAAAAUUUAAAAUUAGAAUUCCCUGUAAUAAGUUUUUUAAAAAUGGUAUAUUUGGGAUCUAGUAGCUCCAUGUGGCUGAGGCACAGGGACAUACAGGGCAGCAGGAUAUGGGACUAUGAAGGGAGUUAGGGUCUCAGGGGUGGUGCUUGGGCUAUAAAGUUCUUUUCAUGCAGGCAAAUGAGUUUCACACCACCCUGGAGACCUAGCGUUCUGAGGUGGAGCCUCUGGAGCAAGGAUGGGGGACAGGAGCUGAACAGAGGGGAUACUAGGAUAUUUUAACAAGAACAGCUUUGCUUCUAACUUUUAUUAAAUUGGGCUUCCAGGUAAUAUUUUGUUUAAAAACGGGAUUCUGAGGCUUCAAAAAAUUUCUCUGUAGCCAUUGAGAGAACAGUUGAAUAUUUUAAAGACCGUCACUUGAGCCAUAGUGCAGAAGAUUGGAGGUAGGGAAAUCAGCUGGGAGGCUAUUUUAAUAUAGCUGGGAGGCAAAUGAAUAAAGCAUUUGUUUUGAGAGGAAUUUAGCCAGUGAAGAUUUGGUCCCAGGAGGUAAACCUUUUAAGACAAUAUUUGUAAUUAUUAUUUCCCAGGCCAUACUCCUAGGGAAGACAACAAAGAGGGUGUGGAAAUAUGCUUACUCCUUGUAACAAGAAAGCCAGUCCUUCUUAGCACCCACUGGGGAAUAGGCUGGAACCCUGCUCCUUUCUCUUCUAUCUGGCUCUUGACAGAGCACACGGAGAACUAUGUCUCCCUUACAACUGUCUCAGCAUCUUCUUUGAUCAGAGUCUCCAGUCUGUCCUCCUGUGCACCAUAACUGAUAAUUUGGUGAGGUAGGGAGUGAUGCCAGCUGUUUGGGUUUACAGUGACCACUUCUAUUAUUGUUGCUCCGUUUCAACUAUAGCUGCUUUCAGUAUGCACCACCACAUCUACUUGACCGUACUCUACCUUCUUAUAGCAGCUUAAACUCCAGAGUGUAAGACCCCAACAACUAGCCAUCUCUUCUUCCCUUUUCUGUGAAAUCUUAGAGUCUGUCUGACUAGGCAAAUCCACUGACUUUCCCUCCUAGUAAUCUCCCUCAAAUGUAAUGUCUCACUGAGCCCUGCGCCUUUAAAACACACGGACACAUACUCAUGCAUCAAGCUGCUAACAGCUAAUAAAAAUGAACUAUUAACAUUCCAGACUCUGCUAGGUGCCUGUAAUCCUAACACUUUGGGAAGCUGAGGUGGGAGGAUCGCUUGAGCCCAGGAGUUUGAGACCAGCCUGGGCAACACAGUGAGGCCCCAUCUCUACAAAAAACCCAAAAAUUAGCCGGGUGUGGGAUCACGUGCCUGUAGUCCCAGCUACUCAGGAGGCUGAGGGAGAAGGAUCAUUUGAACAUGGAAGGUUGAGGCUGCAGUGAGCUAUGAUCAUGCCACUGCACUCCAGCCUGGGUGACAAAGUGAGACCUUGUCUAAAAAUAAAAAUAACAUUUAGAUCUUGUCUAAAAAUAAAAAACAUUCCAGACUUGGUGAAAAUCAUUUAGGUACAUCUUUAUGUGUCUCUAUCCCUCUGGCUUUCAGUCUACAAUGUCCUGGUGGGCGGGACGCAUGUUUCUUAACCUUGCCUUUGCCCCUCUGACUUGAUGCUUGAGUGAAGCCUCUUUAGUUCUUACUUUUUGUGCUCAUUAAGAUCUUAGCCUUCUUGAAUUAUGGAACUCCUUGAGAAUCUGAUGAUUGUUACGGACCUGCUCCAGAGAAAUGCACACACAUAGUAUUUUGCCUACAAUUUGAGAGUCUCUUGAAUUUUAAAGCCGUUGCAAUUUAAAUGCAUCAGGAAGACUUGACAGCAGAGAGUUUCUUGAUAAAAAUGCAGUAUUCCUUUAUUGCUGCUUGUUUGGUUGGUUUAAAAAUAUGCGAUAUUUCUUGUCCUACCCUAGCAUUUCUGGUGCCAGUAUCACCAAUUUAAACAAUCUCCCUGGUAAUUCUAAAGUUCACUAAGAUUUGAGAAGUUCUGCCCUAAAGACUCAGCUUGUCUUCAUAGUCUAUCUCAUCUUCUGCUCCCAGCCACUUAACUCCUGCUACAGGGGUUCAAACUCUGGAGUCCUGGUUGUUAUCUAAAGGGAACAACUGCCUUCCUGUAGGGCUAAAGUGAAGCCCCUUCAUGGAGAAGCACUAGAGUCUGACAGUGGGCCCAGGUCUUCUUCAUUUUCAGCAGUGAGGAAGAGUUCCUGCCGUUUCCCAUCCUCUCC
rnacentral:lncRNA from 10 species